AAUAAGCGGAGGAAAAGAAACUAACAAGGAUUCCCCUAGUAACUGCGAGUGAAGCGGGAAAAGCUCAAAUUUAAAAUCUGGCGGUCUCCGGCCGUCCGAGUUGUAAUCUGGAGAAGCGUUUUCCGCGUCGGACCGUGUACAAGUCUUCUGGAACGGAGCGUCGUAGAGGGUGAGAAUCCCGUCUCUGACACGGACUGCCGAUGCUUUUGUGAUACGCUCUCGAAGAGUCGAGUUGUUUGGGAAUGCAGCUCAAAAUGGGUGGUAAAUUCCAUCUAAAGCUAAAUAUUGGCGAGAGACCGAUAGCGAACAAGUACCGUGAGGGAAAGAUGAAAAGCACUUUGGAAAGAGAGUUAAACAGUACGUGAAAUUGUUGAAAGGGAAACGUUUGAAGUCAGUCGCGUCGGCCGAGACUCAACCUUGCGAUCUCGCUUGGUGUACUUCUCGGUCGACGGGUCAGCAUCAAUUUCGACCGUCGGAUAAAGGCCGAGGGAAUGUGGCAUCCUUCGGGGUGUGUUAUAGCCUUUGGUUCGGAUACGGCGAUUGGGAUUGAGGAACUCAGCACGCCUUUAUUGGUCGGGGCUUCGGCCCACGUUAACGUGCUUAGGAUGCUGGCAUAAUGGCUUUAAGCGACCCGUCUUGAAACAC
rnacentral:rRNA from 1 species